rnacentral:rRNA from 1 species
AACGAACGCUGGCGGCGGGCCUCAUACAUGCAAGUCGAGCGCGAAAGUCCGCAAGGAUGAGUAAAGCGGCGCACGGGUGAGUAACACGUGGGUAAUCUACCUUUUGGAUUGGAAUAACCUGUCGAAAGACGGGCUAAUGCCGAGUGAGCUUUCUUGAACGUGAAGUUCGAGCAAGGAAAGAUGGCGCAAGCUAUCGCCGAAAGAUGAGCCUGCGUCCCAUUAGUUAGUUGGUGGGGUAAUGGCUUACCAAGACAAUGAUGGGUACCUGGUUUGAGAGAAUGAUCAGGCACACUGGAACUGAAACACGGUCCAGACUCCUACGGGAGGCAGCAGUAGGGAAUAUUGCGCAAUGGACGAAAGUCUGACGCAGCCACGCCGCGUGAGUGAGGAAGGCCUUCGGGUUGUAAAGG